GGAGCAGAGGGAGGUAAUGAGGAAGGAGGUCGCUCUGCAGGGCAGGUUUUCAAGACCACAGGAGCUUGGCUCAAGCCCAGCGCUGGCGUGAGGGCUGAUCCACAGAAAUUGGGGGCAGGGGAACACCGAGGCUUAUUCUCCACCGCCAUCUCCUCAUUCCGACAGAGGUGCCGCCCGGUCCCUACCAGGUAUGGCAGCAGGCUCCUGGGAGUGGAGACAAGAUUGGGCCCUUAUCAGAAGACUGUGCGGCCUGGAAGGAGCUUCCAAGCGUUUGUUGAUUGCCCCAUAGUGACAGCCAACACCUGCCCUGGGAGGCCCUGUUGUAAAUCUUUGCCUGCAGCUGUUCACUCACCAGCCCUCCGAGGAAGCCGCAAAAAGGCAUCACUCCCCCACAACAAUGAGAAAAUCAGCAGGCAAAUGCCAAAAAUUCUGACGCCUGUUGAAUCCUUUGGAUAUAUGGUUAGUGAUGACCCGUGUAACCUAAUCCAAGAGAGAAGAGUUUGGUGUAAGGGGCCUGCGCAGCCUAACGGUCAGAGAGGAUCGAGUGUGAGAAGAAAUCAGCUAAGCUGUAAAACAUGGUUGAAAUCCAUGUAGAUCAGGAAUAGCUGAGGGCGCAGCGGAGUUGACAUUCGGCUGCAAAGUCUGUUCCAGAGCUUUCCGGAGUUCCCACAGAAUGUUCACAAGGAAUAUCGGAGGCAGCGAGAAACUGUUCUCUCCAGCUGCUAUCGAGACAGCCUGGAACAACAGCUCCUCAGCUUUGCACCGACAUUCAUGAGCUAGACACGGAUGGAGAUUGUAGUGUUGGAGUACCCUGAAUUGAGGAGGGGUUCCCAAGCUGGAUUCGUCACCCCAAGAAUCAAGAGUCCACACGCCAAUUGAUGCAACACGCAAGAGGCUUUAAUUAGGCAUCU